AAUACAUUCAGCUUGAAAAUGAACCUGAGUAGCUCCAGCUGAGCUUUGCCACUGCAGUUACAGAAAAACUGGUGUACUCUUGCUGACUGAAUUCGUAGUGGAGUAGAAAAGAUCAAGGAGCAGAGAGGGCUGAAAACCCUGUCCUGCCAUCUCCCAUGGAACUGCAGCACUGCCACCCGUUCCCAGAGACUGAAGAGAGUUCUUCUUUGGGAAAAAUGCCUUCCUCUCCACUGGGAGUCGAAGAUGAAGUCCUCAGUGGAUCAAGUCCUUGGACAAAAAUUGUGAUGGUAUAAAUUGCUUGCAAUCCUGCAAUUAUUUUUAAGCAUAUAUAAUCUUACAUAUGCAUACUACAUAUAUAUUUCUUGCAUGUACAGAUGACAAGAGUUUAGAAACAAAGAAAUCAAUCUUCACUGUAAAGAGUCACUAUAACAUAUGAACAUUUCUAUAGCAAUUUAUUUUGCUUUGAGUAACAUAUGAAUGCUUCCUUAGAGUAGCCAUAUAAUUCUAAUGGCUCUUCUGAUGUUUGCAAAUUAUGCUAACAAUGAUCUUUUCUACAUGUAAACAUAAAACCUCACAAUUAUGUUAACACUGUGGUCAAUAUAGAGAAGGGAUUUCUAAUCCAUACAGGUUAUAAUUUAUUGCUUUUUUUCUGCCACUUUAUUGUACUUUCCUUUAAAUGAAGCAGCACUAAAAUUUGCUAAUUAUUUUUCUCACUGCAAUGUUUAUAGUGCCACCUUUUAAUUUUUGUCCAGAUUUCUUCAUACAAGCAAUGUUUCUGAAAAUGGUAUUCUUGCAACUUAAUAAAAAAGGUAUUACCUUAAUCAUAUGUAGUUUCUUCUGUGAAAUCAACAUGAAAGAAAAAUGUUUGAGGAGGUGACAGCUUUUAUAUUUUGUGUUUCCUUGGUCAGAGCUCCUGCUGCUGCAUAGCUCUCAAUGUAAAUGGUUUGCUAGAAAAACAGUGGUGCUGUUUUUCUUUGUAUUUUAUUUCAUUUGGAAUUGAUCAUGCCUCUGCUUUCAGAUUUACCAAGAUUAAAAGUACGUCUGAAUUAAUGUCAGCUUUAGAUAUCUAUUAUAAUGUCAGUAGCUUGAAAUCUAUUAUAUUAAUGUCGCAUAUAUCUAGUAAAGUAGAAACACAAGUCUAGGAAUAGGGAUUUUUAGAGAUCUGACCUGUUUUUUCUUCUUUGCUGUAACUUUCUGCCUGAUAAUAAACAAAUGUCUGCUGGUUCACA